UAUCCAAGUUCCGAACUGACACCGUAUGGUGCGCGUGCCCGAAAGGGCUAGGGCUUGGAUUCCUU
rnacentral:ncRNA from 1 species